CCUCCACUGGAUCAGUACAGCUAAGGGGGCCCCUGCUGUUUCAUGAGACGAGCCACCGCUUCUUCUGUUUGUCCUCGAGCAUCCCCUGCCAGAACCCUCUGUCUCCUCGCUGCUGCUUCAGUGGGUUCUGGACAGUUCAGGUAAAGCAUGGUUGCCUCGUUUAGAUCAUUUAGAAUUUGCUCUUCUGUUCGCUCCUGUAAGACCCUUUGUGAAGUCUGAAAAGUUGUGUUUGUAGAUACAGGGGUUUGAGGUUUUGCUCUGGACGGGCCCGUUGUCUCUAUUGUCGGUUGAGGGUGGGGAGCUCAAACUGUGAGGUUCAGCUUUCAGGUCUUUAGUAGGCAUAGAUCUGCCAUCUCUUGGUGGUAAGGGUGUAACUUUUCUACUACGCUGCUCAGGAGCUCCUUGUCUACCACGCUGCUCUGCUUGUGGUGUCUCCCUUGAGUUUGUAG